AAGCCCAACCAGCGACACGUAUCAGCCCAACCAGCGACACGUCUCAGCGAUUCACAUUCAUUUCCUUUGAUCUGCAAACGUCUAGCGGCUCGUCUCCUUUAACCAGCCCCAAACCAGUCGAUCCCCUUUGCUCUCCUCUCUCCCCCCAUCUCGAUCUCCUCCAUCUUCCCCAGCAAGUUCACAAAUCCUCCCGUAUCUCCAUCUUCCCAAAUUCCAUAUAGCCCCCUUGGCUGCAAAUCCCGAGUAACCAAGCCGGAGACGCCGCGGGGCUGCCGUUGCAAGAGGAGGACGGGGUGCUGCAAGGCGCUGCCGCCGUCUCAACAGGCGCCGCCGCCGUCUCAACAAGGGCACUACUGCCACUGCCGGACUGCAAGGGAGGCCGCUAUUUCUCCCUCCAUCUAUCUGUGAUGUCUGCAUCUAGAUUGCUAUACCAUGCAGCCGAGCAGUCUGUUGUUUGAAGGGCCGCCCCGGUUUCCUUUGGUCAUUCUCUGAAAUCUUGUGCAGCUUUUUGGCCGCCCCAGGUUUCUUUCGGUCUAUUCCUCACCCCAUCUCCCUCUGAUGUCUGCCUCACCCUGCAUUCCCCUUCUAGUUCGUUCGUUCGUUCCCUUCCCCUUCCCUGGGAAGAAGGGUACCACCUAUGCCUCACCCUCUGCACCUUUAUUUAAUGAUUUCUGUCGCCUCUUGCUGAAUCCCUCUUGUUGAAUCACCAUGGCACAGUUUUCAGGCAAGUCGUCUCGCAUUGGAGAGCUUCCCGCGUCUAGGCUGUGUCCACGUCGGUGUCCCUGUGCUAUGGAGUUCCACUUCGUCGUUUUUUCGCUGCCGCGUAGUUCGUGUUAUCGAGGCCCAUUUAUGUUCAUUAAAUAAUGUACAUACUGUUCAGCCGCGUCAUGUGUGCCGCUUGGCCCCUUAUCUCGAUGUAAUAUCAGACUCGUGUAAUCCGCUAGCAUUAAUAAAGCGGUUGUUUCUGUA